rnacentral:lncRNA from 1 species
CAGAAUCAUAGCUCUAAAAGGAGCUAAGGAACUCUUACGGGAACAGGAAUGGUUGUGGGGGCACUGGUCUUUCCCAUCAAAUGUGUUUUGAAGAAGCAAUGUUUUGGUUUGUGUAGCACUGGGAUGGUUUGUGACUCGACAUCGGUGUAUGAAUAAUUGAUUGGUUACCUGCUCAUGAAAACAUGGACUCCAAUACAGAUCUUUCUAGAGAUGUCAGUGGAUGCUCCUUUAUCUGAGUUUCCUGAGUGACUUUGAUGAACAGAGACCCCUGUCUACCUGGAUGAG